rnacentral:rRNA from 1 species
UGGGAAUUUUGGACAAUGGGCGCAAGCCUGAUCCAGCCAUGCCGCGUGCGGGAAGAAGGCCUUCGGGUUGUAAACCGCUUUGUCAGGGAAGAAAUCUUCUGAGUUAAUACCUCGGGAGGAUGACGGUACCUGAAGAAUAAGCACCGGCUAACUACGUGCCAGCAGCCGCGGUAAUACGUAGGGUGCAAGCGUUAAUCGGAAUUACUGGGCGUAAAGCGUGCGCAGGCGGUUUUGUAAGACAGAGGUGAAAUCCCCGGGCUCAACCUGGGAACUGCCUUUGUGACUGCAAGGCUUGAGUGCGGCAGAGGGGGAUGGAAUUCCGCGUGUAGCAGUGAAAUGCGUAGAUAUGCGGAGGAAACACCGAUGGCGAAGGCAAUCCCCUGGGCCUGCACUGACGCUCAUGCACGAAAGCGUGGGGAGCAAACAGGAUUAGAUACCCUGGUAGUCCACGCCCUAAAACGAUGUCAACUGGUUGUUGGGAAGGUUCCUUCUCAGUAACGUAGCUAACGCGUGAAGUUGACCGCCUGGGGAGUACGGCCGCAAGGUU